GACGAACGCUGGCGGCGUGCUUAACACAUGCAAGUCGAACGGUGAAGCGCCUUCCUUUUUGGUGGGUGUGGAUGAGUGGCGAACGGGUGAGUAACACGUGAGUAACCUGCCCCCUUCUUCUGGAUAACCGCAUAAAAGUGUGGCUAAUACGGGAUAUUCUGGGUCUGUCGCAUGAUGGGUCUGGGAAAGAUAUUGUUUCGGUGGGGGAUGGGCUCGCGGCCUAUCAGCUUGUUGGUGGGGUGAUGGCCUACCAAGGCGGUGACGGGUAGCCGGCCUGAGAGGGUGGACGGUCACACUGGGACUGAGACACGGCCCAGACUCCUACGGGAGGCAGCAGUGGGGAAUAUUGCACAAUGGGCGAAAGCCUGAUGCAGCGACGCCGCGUGAGGGAUGGAGGCCUUCGGGUUGUGAACCUCUUUCGCCAGUGAAGCAGGCCUGCCUCGUUUGUGGGUGGGUUGACGGUAGCUGGAUAAGAAGCGCCGGCUAACUACGUG
rnacentral:rRNA from 1 species